rnacentral:rRNA from 1 species
CUUUGACCUCAAAUCAGGUAGGACUACCCGCUGAACUUAAGCAUAUCAAUAAGCGGAGGAAAAGAAACCAACAGGGAUUGCCUCAGUAGCGGCGAGUGAAGCGGCAAAAGCUCAAAUUUGAAAUCUGGCGUCUUUGGCGUCCGAGUUGUAAUUUGAAGAAGGUAUCUUUGGGCCCGGCUCUUGUCUAUGUUCCUUGGAACAGGACGUCACAGAGGGUGAGAAUCCCGUGCGAUGAGAUGGCCCGGG